AGCCAAGUGUUAGAGUUAUUGCUGCCUGAGUUAUAACAGCUGCCCUGGGAAUCUUGUCUGAACAACAAGUUAACUGCUGUUCCCAGUUAUAUCUGGUCUUUCCCACCCCCAAACAUACACAAAAGAUUUUUGUCAUUCUUGGCACUGGACAACAGAAGUGAUAAGACAUGCCAGCAGAACUCUAAAGGCAGAAUGUCCUUCCACCUGUUUUAUGCUGUAAGACAAACUUCCAAGUGCGAGGCAGUGUGGAGGGCUGUUGCCUUGAAUGGCAGCUGAAUGCACCAGCGGGAUCCUUGGCAGCAAUGCCCAGGCACUGAAGUCGGGCAUUCAGGAGAGCUAAAUGGAGAAAAGAAACUUGAGCAAACUGCUUCCUGGAACACUGAGAACCUGAAUGGGAAAUUAAGAAGAACCAGAUUCUUUCUAUUCUUCCACCAGCCAAGCAGCAACUUCAGGAUGGGGGAAUCAAGCAAAACCAUGGUGAAGAGAUUCAUUUAAAGAGGACAAGUGAUUUAUUCUACAUCUCAGGAGACAGUUCCUUAAGGUGAUGAGCACAAAAGGAUCCAUCUUAUACAGUGCUUGCCAGCUUCCAUAAUACUACUCACCACGAUGUUGAAAUCACCUGUUCCAGAACCAGUCCUGUCCUUUGACAAGAAGGAUUUAAUUAUCAGUAGUGGUGGGGACUGGCUGGAGAGAGGAAAAACACUUCAAGGACUCUGCCACCUUUCGUAGAUGGAGAGUGCAAAGUUUGUACCAUGGAACUCCUUCUCUAACAGUUACUCUGUGGCAGUGCCUAUUUCAAACCUCCCUUAACUUCUGAUUGUAUAGAUGUUUGUUUCAUUUGUUCAUCUGUUUGUUCACUUAGUCAGAGAUGUUUUAAGCCUUAAGAGAAAUAGUGGACUAGAAAAUGCCUUGGAAAAGUACAAAGUUCAAUCCAAGUAAACUGUUUUUAAACUAGGAAUUUAUGAAGCCUAAAAUAUAAAAUGUAUAUACAUGGAUAUGCUCUGAAGUGAGGUAGAGGGGUAGAAAUCAACAUUGUGAUAUUGUACUAUAGUUUUGCAAGAUGUUACCAUUGGGGGAAAAUGUUUGAAGGGUAUACGGGAUAUCUCUGCCUUAUUUCUUACAACUGCAUGUGAAUCUACAGUUAUCUCAAAAUAAAAAUUUAAUUAACAAUUGAUUACAAUUAACAGCAUUAAUUUCUUAUCCUGUCAUUUUCCUUCUCCUGAAAUUGCAGAAUAGCCAAACAGAAACCUACCCAUGACCACCAUCUGAGAUUCUU
rnacentral:lncRNA from 10 species